CUCACAGAGUCCUCAGAUACCACAGAAAGAGUCCUUGAAAAUGAUGAAUUGUUGUAGUAAUGAUACAAGGCCCUACUGUGUGCUGGGCAUUACACAGUUAUCUCUGAUCUUUUGCACAGACUCCUGUAGAUGUCACCAUACAUCAUCAUUGUUACCACCAUCAUCAUCAUCAUCUUUACUCUCAUGACACCGUUUCUCUGUAUAACCCUGGCCAACCUGAACCAGGCUGACCUUGAACUCAGAGACCCACCUGCUUCUGCCUCUCCAGUGCUGGGAUUAAAGGCAUGGGCCACCACCAGGCUCAGAGUGGUUUGGGAAUGUGCUCAAGUCUGCAGUGGGGAUGAUGACACACGAAAUAAAUGUAGGUAACAGGUUUAGUGGCAGCUGCUCAUGAAGAGUGGCCAAGGAAGGCAUCUGUGGAGGUGGGAGAGCUUCAAGACGCGUUACAGGCAGUGAGAAGUGUGUGUGCAAAGGCCCUGGGGCAGGAUGGUACCUGGCUGGUUGAACAGAUAGAUGCUAGAAUGUUUAGAGGGGAGAAGAUAGGAUGUGGUUGGCUGGGGCCCAGUGUGUAUGUGUGUGUGUGUGUGGUGUGCAUGUGUGAACUUCAGGUUCACUGGGGAUGUGGAGAGCCAGUGAUAGUGUUCAGCAGGGACAUGGUGGAAGGUGGUUUGUGUGGAGAUCUCUGGAGCCUCUUGCCUCCUUUGUAGGUAGGUGUCUCUCUAGGAGACAGGUGACACACCUCACCUCCAGGCAGACCCCUGCUACUUACAGGUUGCUGCUGUGUGCCCCAGGGAGAUUCUCCAGGCAAGGUCCCAGCUUCCUUGUGGGUCUGGCCAGGUCACAGGGAGGGGUAGUUUGGAGGCAGGGAGGGGAGGAGUUUGGACUGUUUGUAGCCAGGGUGUAGGUGUAGAUGAGGUGUCCUGGUGGCUUGCCUUCUGAGCCCAGACACAAUGCACUUGAGGGUGACCGCCUCGGCUUUCCUGUGAUAGAUAAAGAAGAAGACAGCCUUGUUUUCUGCUCAGGAAGUUAGUUACCUGAUUAAAAACAAAAAGCCAAAAAAAAGAAAAGAAAAGAAAAAAAAAACGGUUUGGUGACACCUCGGCCCCACCCUGCGCUCAGCCGUCCUAAAGUCAGAGUGAGCCCUUUAUGUGCGCUCUGAACUCUCACACACCCACCUGUGCUGGUGUGUUCAGAACCACUUCAUGGGGAGGGACUCUGGGGACAGGAGGCUGGGCCAGGGCCGCAGCUGUCUUCUCGUCACGUCACGUCAUGUCACCGAGGUGUUAUCCUGCACGAACACAGGCUUCUGUGUGGCCUCAGCCUCCCUCCUUUCUCAAGCCGUUCUCUUUAAUUGAGAUGUGAUUUAUGUAUCGUGACCCUCACCCUUCCCAAGUGUGCAGCACGUGGCUUCGAGCUCAUUGGUGACAUUGUGCAAUUCCCGUCUUCCCCGUUACCCCUUCAGGUCUCAUUUGUUUUUUCUCUAACGUGCCGAGGGUCGCCCACUGUCUGAGCCUUUUCCCUUGCUCUCUUGUGCAGUGUUCUCCUCCUCGGUCCCCCUCCACCCCCAACUCCAGCCCACUUCUUUCAGGCCUUUGCUCAAGUCUCAUCUCUCCUGGGUCUUGUCUGACCUCUCGCCACCCAACCUCACUACUUCCUGUCUCUUCUUUCCCCAGUGUGAUUUCCCAGUAGCCGACGCUCCUGGUGUUUUAUUUAAGGAGUGAUGUCUUUACCUUCCCCCAGGAUGUCAGCUGGACUAGGACAGGAAUAUUCAUUCCUGUUUCAUUCACUCCCUUCUCUGGCUUCAAGAACGCCACCUGGCGCAGAGUAGAUGCUCAUUAAAGAUUUGUUGAAUGGGAA